CAUGCUGAAUAUACCGGUUCUCGUUAGAUCACCGAAGUCAAGCAUCAUUGGGCGCGGUCAGUACUUGGGUGGGUGACCACCUGGGAACACCGCGUGCCGUU